rnacentral:rRNA from 1 species
GAUGAACGCUGGCGGCGUGCUUAACACAUGCAAGUCGAACGAAGCACCUUGAUUCGAUUCUUCGGAUGAAGAUCUUGGUGACUGAGUGGCGGACGGGUGAGUAACGCGUGGGUAACCUGCCUCAUACAGGGGGAUAACAGUUAGAAAUGACUGCUAAUACCGCAUAAGACCACAGCACCGCAUGGUGCAGGGGUAAAAACUCCGGUGGUAUGAGAUGGACCCGCGUCUGAUUAGGUAGUUGGUGGGGUAACGGCCUACCAAGCCGACGAUCAGUAGCCGACAUGAGAGGGUGACCGGCCACAUUGGGACUGAGACACGGCCCAAACUCCUACGGGAGGCAGCAGUGGGGAAUAUUGCACAAUGGGGGAAACCCUGGUGCAGCGACGCCGCGUGAGCGAUGAAGUAUUUCGGUAUGUAAAGCUCUAUCAGCAGGGAAGAAAAUGACGGUACCUGACUAAGAAGCACCGGCUAAAUACGUG